CUACGUGCCAGCAGCCGCGGUAAUACGUAGGUGGCAAGCGUUGUCCAGAAUUAUUGGGCGUAAAGCGCGCGCAGGCGGAUUGGUCAGUCUGUCUUAAAAGUUCGGGGCUUAACCCCGUGAUGGGAUGGAAACUGCCAAUCUAGAGUAUCGGAGAGGAAAGUGGAAUUCCUAGUGUAGCGGUGAAAUGCGUAGAUAUUAGGAAGAACACCAGUGGCGAAGGCGACUUUCUGGACGAAAACUGACGCUGAGGCGCGAAAGCCAGGGGAGCGAACGGGAUUAGAUACCCCGGUAGUCCUGGCCGUAAACGAUGGGUACUAGGUGUAGGAGGUAUCGACCCCUUCUGUGCCGGAGUUAACGCAAUAAGUACCCCGCCUGGGGAGUACGACCGCAAGGUUGAAACUCAAAGGAAUUGACGGGGGCCCGCACAAGCGGUGGAGUAUGUGGUUUAAUUCGACGCAACGCGAAGAACCUUACCAGGUCUUGACAU
rnacentral:rRNA from 1 species